UCUCAAGAUCAUUAGUGAGAUUAAGUUCGAUUUUAGCGAUAUCAUUAUCCGCAUAUGUCAAGUGAGUAUCGUCUGCAAACAUACGAGGCUGUGAAUGUGAGAGGCAAUUCGGCAAAUCAUUUAUAUACAAUAAAAAUAAUAACGGCCCUAGUAUUGUACCUUGAGGAACACCACAUGUUAAUGCGCGGUUUUCGGAUAGACACCCAUCAGGAAAGCGUAAACUGUUAAUUCCUGACCCGUGGCGCUAGUCCAUUCAAACUGAAUCAAAUCGCUUUGUUCUCCGCGAUGUUUUCCGGGUAGUAUAUGUCUAGAACUGAAUCGAAAUCUGCGCGUAAAAGUGCUUGUUCAGCAGCAAUACAAAAGAUGAUCUCACUGGCCAGUCAUCAAGAAAUAGCACAGGUACUGCAGACAACGUGGAUGUAAAUACUGAUUCUGAUGAUGUACCGAACUAACCGAAGUAAGCUCAACAUCGACG